AAAUGUGGGAAAUUAGAAAACACAGUAUGGGAUAGCUGUAUUAUUUAGGACAGGGGCGCUCCAGUCCAGUCCAGUCCAGUCCUCUGCCAUCCUGCCACUUUCAGAUGCUUCUCUUCUGCAGCACCAGAAUCGAAUGAUCCGCUCCUUACCAGGCCUCAGCAGAGCUCAAUGUCAGCCGGAGAGGGAAUUCAGGAAUUUCAUUUGGGUGCAUUGGAGCACGGAUGGAUAUAAAAGUUGCAGAGUGGUAGCUCUGGACCACUGGAGUUGGACUCCCCUGAUUUAGGAUGUAAAUAACACUGUGAGGGUGAUUUAAUCAAAGGGAGGAAAGGAAUUGUACCUUUUUUUUUUCUCGACUCGAACGAUUUCAUUCGUAUGCCCGACGAGCUCCGUUCUUGUUUGUCUUUUUAGCUUACGUUUGAAGCGAUCGAUAAACCAAGCUAAACUAAAGGCAUACCCUCAGCAUUCUCAAACAGCUAAUCUACUUGCCUGCUGAUGAAGAAAGAAGCCUGUUCAGAGGGUUUGGCCUCCUCUAAAGCUCCCUCCUUAUUUCCCGACAGCGCCGUUCGUCUUUCCAGCUGCCUUUUUGCCAGUCAGCUCUCUGCCUCACUCCACUCCCCCACUUCUCCCGCCGUUGAGAAGACGCCAGGCCACGACUGUCCUGCAUGCCAUGUCUACUGGAUGUGUGAACAAAGCUGGGAGAAAGCGAGAGAGAGGGAGAGAGGUGAAAACGGCGACUCUUAAGUGAGUCAGACCCAGUCGCGCGGGACGGCUGGAAAUGUCUUCCCCUUUGAUUCCCCGGGGAACAGAGACAGAAAACAAAUGGAGUCUGACUCCCUCAUUUUCUCCAAGGUCCCAGAAGUUGACCCGCAGCCACACGUCCCGGAGCGCUGACAUUCGCCGAGCCACCAGUAAGGUCUGUCAACCUGACACAACGGAAUAAGAAACCCUCCCAAAAGCCCUCCGCUGCUCCGCCGCCGCCCCAUCGUCCCUCAUCUCCAUUCCAACACAGUACGCAGUGCUCAGUGGCACAGCUGACAGCCAAGUUGGCCUGCUCACACAGCGAUGACCCAGUGAGUAAUUGGUCGAUAGAAGUCGGCAUGCAUCGGCCUAUGUGGCUUCGCGGGCGGGCGCUGACUCACUGUGUGUUCGGCCUCAGUCGUCAUACCGCGGAUAUCAACGCCCACUCCGAGGAAAACAACGAAUCCCGAGGGAUGAGAUGAUCAUUAGCGGAGAAGUAAAAAUAUCCCGUGAAUAAUCACUGCAACUACAACGCGUUUAUCUCGCCGCUGAGGGGAUAUGUGUACACAACAAGAACAUUAUCUGUCUGCGGUGUGGCUUGCCAGCGAGCUCGGCCCAUUUGGCCGCGAGCAGACAGAAGAGUUUGGCAACUGGUUAUCACAUCACUGCAUCUCGACAACUGGAUGGCCGCUGAUUGUGGCCGAUGAACAAAGGAUUCCCGCUUUAACACAUUAGACCAUUAAGUCGAAAAUCCGUGUCGUGUCAGUAAUCCAGACACUAAGGAGGGUGGACAGGAGGAGAGCGAGCAGCUACAGCGCGAUGCAACAACACCUGCUGUUCCCCGCUGAUUAUAUAAGCAGGGUUAUGUGGAGUGAGAAGCAGUGUGAGACGCAUUGUCAAUGCAAAGAAACCUGACAUCCAAACACAAGAUGGCAUCUCAUCAAAGCCGUUUCUUGAUUUGCAUAGAGAAGCCUUUGACUUGGCACAUGCCUGGUGAUUGGGAUAAACUCGUCGUGGACGACAGAAGAGGGGAAGAAAAGCAGCAGAGGUGCCGAGGCCGGGAAUCGAACAGCCGCUCCGGCGUCUAAAGGCCUGUCUUCGCUCCAUCUCCUCACCGUCCCAUGAUAUUUUUCUACAGUAAAAUUCUGCUUAUGAUUUUGUCACGAUUUUAAAGGAAUUUAAAAAAACUACUUUUAACAGAGCCA